AUGGGGACGCAGGCCUCGCCGGACAACUACACGCCGCCCAAGGAUGAGAGGACUGCUCGGGAGAAGGCGAUCGAUGACUGGCUUCCUAUCACGUCGUCGAGGAAAGCAAAGUGGUGGUACUCGGCCUUCCACAAUGUCACCGCCAUGGUUGGCGCUGGGGUGCUCAGCCUCCCCUACGCCAUGUCUGAACUUGGUUGGGGUCCUGGCAUCGCGGUGAUGACCUUGUCGUGGAUCAUCACGGUGUACACGCUGUGGCAGAUGGUGGAGAUGCAUGAGAUAGUCCCCGGGAAGCGUUUCGACCGGUACCAUGAGCUCGGGCAGCACGCCUUCGGCGAUAAGCUCGGCCUCUGGAUCGUGGUGCCACAGCAGCUUGUCGUCGAGGUCAGCCUGAACAUUGUGUACAUGGUUACCGGCGGCAACUCGCUCAAGAAGUUCCACGACGUGAUCUGUGACGGCAAGUGCAAGGACAUCAAGCUCACUUACUUCAUCAUGAUCUUCGCCUCUGUCCACUUCGUCCUCUCCCAGCUGCCAAACUUCAACUCCAUCUCGGGCAUCUCCCUCGCCGCAGCCGUCAUGUCACUCAGCUACUCAACAAUUGCUUGGGGCGCCUCGUUGGACAAGGGGAGGGCGGAGAACGUGGACUACAGCCUGCGGGCAUCGACGACAGCAGGGCAGGUGUUCGGUUUCUUGGGUGGGCUCGGCGACGUGGCUUUCUCCUACUCCGGCCACAAUGUGGUGCUAGAAAUCCAGGCUACCAUCCCAUCGACGCCGGGCAACCCGUCCAAGAAGCCAAUGUGGAAGGGCGUGGUGGUCGCCUACAUCAUCAUCGCCGCCUGCUACAUGCCGGUGGCAUUUAUCGGCUACUGGGCCUUCGGCAACAGCGUCGACGACAACAUCCUCAUCACCCUCAACAAGCCCAAGUGGCUCAUCGCCAUGGCCAACAUGAUGGUCGUCGUUCACCUCAUCGGUAGCUACCAGAUUUACGCGAUGCCAGUGUUUGACAUGAUGGAGACGUUUCUGGUGAGGAAGCUGGAGUUCGCACCAGGCAUUACGCUCCGUCUGAUCACCCGGACCAUCUAUGUUGCCUUCACGAUGUUCGUCGGCAUGACCUUCCCGUUCUUCGGUGGCCUCAUCGGGUUCUUCGGCGGGCUGGCCUUCGCGCCGACGACAUAUUUCCUGCCCUGCAUCAUGUGGCUCAUCAUCUGCAAGCCCAGGAGAUUCAGCCUCUCAUGGUUCACCAACUGGAUUUGCAUCGUCCUUGGUGUGAUUCUGAUGAUCAUCGCGCCCAUCGGAGGGCUCAGGCAGAUCAUCAUUUCUGCCAAGACAUACAAGUUCUACUCAUAG
rnacentral:rRNA from 1 species